UCACUGGAGGACCGAACCGGUGUCUGUUGAAAAAGCCUCGGAUGAACUGUGGAUAGGGGUGAAAGGCCAAUCAAGGCAGGAAAUAGCUGGUUCUCCGCGAAAUCUAUUUAGGUAGAGCCUCGGAUGAAUACUCGAGGGGGUAGAGCACUACAUGGGCUAGGGGUCCCCACAGGAUUACCAAACCUAAGUAAACUCCGAAUACCUCGAAGUACUAUCCGGGAGACACACGGCGGGUGCUAACGUCCGUCGUGAAGAGGGAAACAACCCUGAUCGCCGUCUAAGGUCCCCAAAUCAUUGCUAAGUGUGAAAGGAUGUGGGAAUCCCAUAACAACCAGGAUGUUGGCUUAGAAGCAGCCAUCAUUUAAAGAAAGCGUAACAGCUCACUGGUCUAAACAAGGGUUCCUGCGCCGAAAAUGUAUCGGGGCUAAAGCAAUGUACCGAAGACGCGGGUGUGCAGCAAUGCACGCGGUAGCGGAGCGUUCCGUAAGCCAGUGAAGGGAGACCCGUGAGGGCUCCUGGAGGUAUCGGAAGUGCGAAUGCAGACAUGAGUAACGAAAGGGGUGUGAGAAACACCCCCUCCGAAAGUCCAAGGGUUCCUGCGUAAAGUUAAUCUGCGCAGGGUUAGCCGGCCCCUAAGGCGAGGGCGAAAGCCGUAGUCGAUGGGAACCACGUUAAUAUUCGUGGGCCAGUGGGUGUGUGACGGAUGCAGCAAGUUGUUGAGGCUUAUUGGAUUGCCGAGGCAGCGAAUGUGUCCCAGGAAAUAGCCCCCACAUAGACCGUACCCGAAACCGACACAGGUGGACUGGUAGAGAAUACCAAGGAGCUUGAGCGAAGUGUGCUGAAGGAACUCGGCAAAUUACCUGCGUAACUUCGGGAGAAGCAGGCUGCAGAUCUAGGCAACUAGGUUUGCAGGACACAAACUAGGGGGUGGCGACUGUUUAUCUAAAACACAGGGCUAUGCUAAGACCAACGUCGAUGUAUAUGGCCUGACGCCUGCUCGGUGCUGGAAGGUUAAAAGGAGAGGUGCAAGCCUUGAAUUGAAGCCCCAGUAAACGGCGGCCGUAACAAUAACGGUCCUAAGGUAGCGAAAUUCCUUGUCGGGUAAGUUCCGACCUGCACGAAUGGCGUAACGACUUCCCCACUGUCUCCAGCACACACUCAGUGAAAUUGAAUUCCCCGUGAAGAUGCGGGGUUCCUGCGGUUAGACGGAAAGACCCCGUGCACCUUUACUGCAACUUUGCACUGGCC
rnacentral:rRNA from 1 species